CUAACCCGCGGGUGAAACUAGCAUAUCAAUAAGCGGAGGAGAAAAAACUAACAAGGAUUCCCCUAGUAACGGCGAGUGAAGCGGGAUGAGCUCAAAUUUGAAAGCUGGCACCUUUGGUGUCCGCAUUGUAAUCUCGAGAAGUAGUUUCUGUGCCGGACCAUGUACAAGUUCCUUGGAAUAGGACAUCAGAGAGGGUGAGAAUCCCGUACUUGACAUGGACCCCGGUGCUUUGUGAUCUGCUCUCUAUGAGUCGAGUUGUUUGGGAAUGCAGCUCAAAAUGGGUGGUAAAUUCCAUCUAAAGCUAAAUAUUGGGGAGAGACCGAUAGCGAACAAGUACCGUGAGGGAAAGAUGAAAAGCACUUUGGAAAGAGAGUUAAACAGUACGUGAAAUUGUCAAAAGGGAAGCGCUUGAGGUUAGACAUGCAUGCAGUAUUCAACCUUUCUUUUGGGAUUGGCGUAUUUGCUGUUGUGCAGGCCAGCAUCGGUUUUGUCUGCUGGAUAAUAGUAGGAGAAAUGUGGCAUCUUCGGAUGUGUUAUAGUCUCGUAUUGGAUACAGUGGAUGGGACCGAGGACCGCAGUGUGCCGUAAGGCGGCUCUUCGGAGACCUUCGCACUUAGGAUGCUGGCGUAAUGGCCUUAAGCGGCCCGUCUUGAAACACGGACCAAGGAGUCUAACAUAUUUGCGAGUCUUUGGGUGGCAAACCCAUAGGCGUAAUGAAAGUGAAUGCAGGUGGGAUCCUUCUUUAUGGAGGUGCACCAUCGACCGAUCCGGAAUUUCUAGGAUGGAUUUGAGUACGAGCACAUAUGUUGGGACCCGAAAGAUGGUGAACUAUGCCUGAAUAGGGCGAAGCCAGAGGAAACUCUGGUGGAGGCUCGUAGCGAUUCUGACGUGCAAAUCGAUCGUCAAAUUUGGGUAUAGGGGCGAAAGACUAAUCGAACCAUCUAGUAGCUGGAUCCUGUCGAUUUCUCUCCCCAAGGA
rnacentral:rRNA from 1 species